GAUGAACGCUGGCGGCGUGCCUAAUACAUGCAAGUCGAGCGAACGGAAGUGAAGCUUGCUCCUCUGUUGUUAGCGGCGGACGGGUGAGUAACACGUGGAUAAUCUACCUUUAAGCCUGGGAUAACUUCUGGAAACCGGAGCUAAUACCGGAUAACAUCUUGAACCGCAUGGUUCAAAAGUGAAAGAUGCUAUUGCAGCACCUAAAAAUUGGAUCGCGGUUGAUUUGCCAAGUGGGGAAGGUAAGGGCUUCCAAAGGGAACGUUCAUUAGCGGACCUGAGAGGUGGUCCGGCCACAUGGGAACUGAGACACGGCCCAGACUCCUAGGGGAGGCGCCGGAGGGGAAUCUUCCGAAAUGGCGGAAGUCCGGACGGAGCAACGCCGCGUGGGGGAUGAAGGUCUUCGGAUGGAAAAACCCGUUGAUUAGGGAAGAAGAUAUGGGGAGGUAAAUGUGCACAACGUGACGGUACCUAAUCAGAAAGCCACGGCUAACUACGUG
rnacentral:rRNA from 1 species